GAGGAAUAUUGGGCAAUGCCCGCAAGGGUGACCCAGCAACGCCGCGUGGAGGAUGAAUGUCGUAAGAUUGUAAACUCCUGUUAGAGGGGAAGAAUAGUACCGGUUGGACCGGUAUAUGACUGUACCCUCAGAGAAAGCCCCGGCUAACUUCGUGCCAGCAGCCGCGGUAAUACGAAGGGGGCUAGCGUUGCUCGGAAUUACUGGGCGUAAAGCGCACGUAGGCGGUUUCUUAAGUCGGGGGUGAAAUCCUGGAGCUCAACUCCAGAACUGCCUUCGAUACUGGGAAACUUGAGUUCGGGAGAGGUGAGUGGAACUGCGAGUGUAGAGGUGAAAUUCGUAGAUAUUCGCAAGAACACCAGUGGCGAAGGCGGCUCACUGGCCCGAUACUGACGCUGAGGUGCGAAAGCGUGGGGAGCAAACA
rnacentral:rRNA from 1 species